rnacentral:pre_miRNA from 1 species
UUUAUGCGGCAGCAUAGAACUGAAUUGUGGGAGGACUUAUAUGGUUCUACCCCUCUUAAUUUUUAUGCUGCUUUGGAG